UUGUACAAAGCAGUAGGAGACUACUGAGAGGUCUUAAGCAAGGGAGCUGGGGCAACAUCAGCAUAUCUGCAUUUUAGAAGGAACGCUCAGGGUUAUCUGUGCAUGUGUCAAGUCAGAUUACGGAGAGCAGCUGGGGUAAACUGAUUCUUUCCUCCUCCUCGUCCUGUUCCGCUUCCUCCUCCUUUCCCUGCCCACAUAAGACAGCUCACACAGGCUGAGAUAACCUGCAUGAGCAUGCCUGGUGUGGUGGCUGGCACAUAGUAGGUGUCCAAUUAGCAUAUAUUAUACCCUUUUUUAAACAUCGUCCUUGAAUGAGACACCCCCUGGCAUGAAGUGCAAGUUGAGGCAGCAAUGCAGAGGGUGUGGCUGUUUGUAUUUUCUGGCUGCUGCUCAGGGUAUGGCGGACAGGAUUUAGGUCAAAGGAAGUUCCCCAGACAGUUCAGUUUGAAUCAGUCAUCUAGGGUUUCAGGGAGGGCAGGCCAAGGUCAUACUAUCUCCCCUAUUUCAUGAGGCCACUCCUCUUCAGGGUCCUGGUCUGGAAAACUUGCCAGACAUGGACGAUCCCAUUACUGUGUCCGAGUCGGCUUCCUCAUCUGUAAGAUGGGUAUGAAGCGCUUGCACUGCCAACCACACGGGGAGUUCCUGUGAGGAUCAGAGGAGGGUGAGUCACAGCUAAACAAUAGGACGUCCCUGGGGCCAGGCUUUGUCCUGUGAAGGAAGUAUCACCAUUCUCCCUACCCUGCAGGUAAAGCAAUGGAAGUUCAGAGAAGCCGUGUGAAGCUCCCAGGGCCUCGGGAGUGCUGUAACUGGCACCCUGGUCUUUCAGCCUCUGCAGGUGACACCGCAGCCUGCUCUCCUUUGAAAACCACAAACAGCUCUCUGAGCUCACAGCACCAUGCAGGCACUCCAGAAGCAUGUGGGGAAAGGUGGAGGGAGGAAGGGAAGGGGCAGGGUUGGAAGUCUGAGGAAUUCUUGCCUAAUGCCUUCAGACCCCACCCCCAACCAACUUAGAGUUGUCUGCGCCACGCCCUCCGGAAACGCUUCCCCGCCCCAGAGAAAAGUGACCUGUCACCUGUCUGACUCCUCACAGGGCUGCGGCUGGUGAGGGCCCAGCCUGAGUCUGGGUCAUGGUGGUAUCUCCAGGCCCUAGUACAGUGCCUGGCACUCAUUCAGUAUUUGUGAAUAAAUUUCUUCUGUUGCUGGCCUGGAUUUCCUGCCCAAGCUUUCCUGUUGGUCAACGGGUCUAAGGAGCCGGGUCUUUCGUCAGCUGGGAAGGUCCUGCAAGGUUGUUGGGCACAUGCUGAUGGAUGACCAGUGAGAGGUCCGUGUGCCAGCUCUGAGCCCAGCCUCCCACACCCCCUCACUGCUGGGGGAACUCAGAAGGCUGGGAUGGCCCAUCCGCCCUGCUCUUCUCCAUGGGACCUGACGCUGGUGAGCUGAGCACAGGGCCCCCGCGUCACAUGAGGAAGCCUAAGGGGUUGCUGAGUAGACAAAGGUGCGUGCGUGAGCCAUCGUGUGUGCCGUGUGUGCCGGUGGCUUGAGUCGGGCCCACCUGGCUGAUAGCUGGUCGACAAGUCACAUGAGAACCAGAACAAUGCUCCGUCAGGUUGAGCAACCAGCUUCCCUUCCUCGCCUCCGGCAAGAGCUGGGCCAGGGAAAGUGAAGCAACCUGCUGGGGCCUCCGCGGGGUGGGCGUGGGCGGGGACCUGCCGGGAACCGGCGGCUGGACCAGUUUCCAUUGCUCCCGGACAGGAUGCAACCCCGUGACUCGGGCGGAGGCAGGAGAAACGCACGCCCUGGGCGCAUCUCUGUGUCCUCCAGGGCGACACUGGCUUUGGCAAUGAUACGACUGGGGGCUCUAGGUCAGCGGUCACCGGGCGUGCGACUUCCGGCUGCUCCAUCAGGCGAGCGGGCGGGGCAGCAGCGAAUCAGCUGACAGGUUCUGGAGAAGCUUCCAGCCGGCUGCUCUGUUGUUCUCUGAAUGCAGACCGUGGUGGAGCCCUGUCUUGGCCCGCAGCCGUUAGGAUAUUUCUCAGGGAAAGCCCUUGGACCAAGAAGUCUGUUUUUUCUUUGGAAACUAUGAGACUCUCUGCAAAAACAAAGGAAUUUGGAUUCUGUUCAGGAAAAAUGUAACCUACAAACAAAUAGCCUUGGAAAAUCUGUGCCUCCCCCUCGGUGCCUGGGUCAGGCACAGGGACAGCCCCACCCCCGGGCUGCUUUCGCGCUGGAGGCCACCUCCUUUUUCCUCUUCUGUGUGUUGUCUCUGGCUGCCCAGAGGGCAGUGCCUCCUCUCCAUGCCUUCCCCUGCCCUGCCGCCCAGGGCCCCUGUCUCUGCAGUGCCCUUGAUCUGGUUGGAAUGCUCUUCCCUUCCCUGGCUGCAACCCUUCCUCAUUCUUUAAGACCCAGUUCCAAUGUCUCCCCUCCGGUUCUGAGUUCCCCAGGUGGCUAGUUGCUCUGCUAUUAUGUUGCUCUGAAUAAUUUCAAAUUUAAAUAUACUUCCCUUUUCUUUCAGAUAGCAAUCCCUGAUUUUAUUCUUUUAAGAAAUAUGGUAAUAAUACUGACUGCCACUCUUAAACUCUUGCUAUGUGCCAAGCGGGGUUGUACAUUAUGGUACCCACUGCAUGCGCAAAGUGAUUAGGAAAAAACUGGCACAUAGUGAGGAGUCAGUAAAAGUUACUUCUUAUUAUCCUUAUUUUAUCUUAAUUCUCGCAUAACACUUGCAGCAAGUAAGAUUUGUCAUGCACAUUAUGAUGAUCGGGUUCCUCGUCUGUGAGCUCCUUGACGGUGGGGACUGUGUCUUCUUGCUUGUCCAAGUCUGUGGACGUGCAAAGGGUGUUUGGAUGAAUUCAAGAAAGGAAGAGUGGAACAUUUAGCAUGUCUCCGUUGGUCUCCUGGGACCGCCGUAACACAUCACCACGCAUUCCUGCUGGCUUGGAGCAAUAGGAAUUUCUUCUGUCACAGUUCUGGAGCCUAGAAGUCCAAAACCAAGUUUUGAGCAGGGCCACGCUCCCUCUGAAGGCUCUCGGGGAGAGUCCUCGCUGUCUCUCCCAGCCUCUGGAGGUGGCCGUAGUCCUUGGUGUCCUCGACUUGCAGCUCUAGCAUCUAACUUCUGCCCCCAUCUUCCCAGGGUUUUCUCCCUCUGUGUCUUGACUUUGUCUCCGUCUGCGCAUAUGUCUCCUCUGUUUUCCCUUCUUGUAAGGAGUUAGUUUUCCAAAUCUACAAUUUUCCUUUCAGUAUAACCUCAUCUUAAUUGUGUCUGCUAUGACCCUAUUUCCAAAUAAAGUUACAUUCUGAGA